UGGGGAAUAUUGCACAAUGGGCGAAAGCCUGAUGCAGCGACGCCGCGUGGGGGGAUGACGGUCUUCGGAUUGUAAACUCCUUUCAGUAGGGACGAAGCGAAAGUGACGGUACCUGCAGAAGAAGCACCGGCCAACUACGUGCCAGCAGCCGCGGUAAUACGUAGGGUGCAAGCGUUGUCCGGAAUUACUGGGCGUAAAGAGCUCGUAGGCGGUUUGUCACGUCGUCUGUGAAAUUCUCCAGCUCAACUGGGGGCGUGCAGGCGAUACGGGCAGACUUGAGUACUACAGGGGGUGAGACUGGAAUUUCCUGGUGUAGCGGUGAAAUGCGCAGAUAUCAGGAGGAACACCGGUGGCGAAGGCGGGUCUCUGGGUAGUAACUGACGCUGAGGAGCGAAAGCAUGGGGGAGCAAACAGGAUUAGAUACCCUGGUAGUCCAUGCCGU
rnacentral:rRNA from 1 species